rnacentral:lncRNA from 1 species
CGUAGUUGUGUGGCAGUGCGGAAUUCCAUUGUUCGUUUGGUGUUGCAGGUGAGUACAUAAUAGGAUAUCGUCUGCUCCCGCUGGAAUGCCAAUACGAAAGUCGAACAAAUGAGUAAAAUGAGAGAGCGUGAACAGCAGUGUCCUGAGGCAAAAGGAUUAUUGGCGGAUAUUGGAGGUCAAUUCACAUACAUGUACAUAUGUACGAUCUGCCAAAAACAACAAAACAAAGGGAUUUACUUAAAUUUCAUUUGGAUUUUUGGCCACAAUCUCCCACUGUACAACGAUGGAAAAUAAAAACAGAAACAACCGCAUCGAGUUGAAAGACGUCGGGGUUAAAGACAGUCGUGGCAAAAGAGUUAAAAAUCUCUACAAAGCCAUCAGGCGUAAGACAGCGCUAGCCAAAACAGACGUCUCCAGAUACAGAAAUAAG